UACUACUUGUAUAAUGACCGUGGCUCCUGAAGCCACGCGUCAUUCUCUCAAUUAACCAGAAUAAAAAAUCUCUCCUAUUAUCUAUCUAUCUAUCUUUCACUGCAAUUUCUCUCUCUCCCUUUUGAAACUCUAGAUCCCCCCUUCUGCUUCGUUCUCUCCUCCAUAGCCCACAAACUCAUUCUGGUCCAUAUAAUCGCUGCCAUCCACGCUCUCUUUAUGGCUCUCCCUGGUUCUCAAAACCUCAUUUCAGCAAGCCAUAUAUCUCCAUUUGAAAAGCCAUCUCUUAAACACCAUUUUCGUCAACCCCCAUCUGAAAACCCUAACUCACCGAGCUGAGCGGAAUCUUCGUCUCAGAUCACAAUCACGGCGAUGGCGCUGUUAGUUUCAGCUGGUGAAAUGCCGGCGAUGCUGGGCGACUAAGAUAUCUGUUGCGUGGUUGAUGCGCUCUCGAACGUCAACAGCCUUGGUGAUACAUGUUGGGUCGAGAUCUCAACCAGCGCUCCCCCGUGAAGGAUUAAGAAGAUUGGUUUCCGUAUGUACUGUCGCGGUAAAAAAACCUCUACCUUUAUGAUUUUGGAAGAAAUCUGACCAUUCUGGUAGUUGGUAUAGGAGAUUUGCAGCGUCGCCUUUGUGCCUUGAAUCUUCCCCAUUUCGUUGGGUAAGUCACGCUGAUUUCGCAUUAUCCAACAACAUCAAGCUGUAUCAUUUUUGUUCAUUGCAAAAUAUAGUCUCCAAAUUAAUCUUCAUGUCUCUUCAAGAAAUGGUUUUGGUAUUAUGUAGGCCGGUAAUGAUAAUAAUACAACACCAACUCUCUAUCUUUUUGAUCCGUAUAUACGUUUUUAUUUCACAUGAAAAUAUGGCUGGGGUGUUGAUCUGAUUUGAGAAAAGUGGGAGAAAAGAUAAUUGCAGGAAGAAGAUAGAAAAUAUUUGUGCUUUCAGCAAGUGCAGUGAUAUGAUAGGAUCUCAAGAGUGGUUUGAAAUUAUAUAUUGGUAUUUGUACCUUUUUAGUGGUUGGUGUUCAUAUCCAUUGUUUUCUUUUGCAUUGUUAGUGUCUAUAGAAAAUGAGUUAUUUGGGUGUAGGUUUUAGUCCUGGAACAGUUCUAGCGUACCAUAGCACAAACCUGAAAUUGUUCGAUAAGAGGAUCAAGAUAGCUGAGUUGGUGUUAAGGUUUAUAAUUCUUGGUCUUGGAGUUGUUGCAGCUGUUCUUAUUAGAACUGAUUCACUAGUGAAGGUGUUUUUCUCCUUUAAAAAGGAAGCUAAAUUCACUGAUGUUAAGGCUUUAGUAUUCUUGGUUGUUGCGAAUGGUUUGGCUGCUGGAUACUCUUUGAUUCAAGGACUCCGUUGUGUUGUGAGUUUGGUUAGGGGAAGUGUUCUCUUCAACAAGCCCUUAGCUUGGGCCAUUUUCUCUGCUGAUCAGGUCUGGCGUUGAUGAAGAGCUUCAGGUGGUGCUUAUUAAAGGUCAUGUAAAAGCUACUUGAUUGUGGAUGAUAUUCUAACUCAUGAAACUGAAGUUGCUUCACGGCUAAUGAACACGCUCCAAAAAAAGGACCAAUUAUUCUCUGAUUUCGAGGACCUUGGUAAAUGUUUAUUGUGGAUAGAAGCACCAUGAAUUUGGGUUUGUGGGCCACUGCUGGUGAGUUAGUUCACUAUUUAUCAAGUUUUGUUUUUGGAGGGUCUUGAUUUUUCUUAAUUUUAUUUUUAAAUAUGCCAAGAAGAUUACAAUAUAUUAAGAUCUUUAAGCUAUUGUGGAGCUAAUGAAAAUUAAAUGUGAUUAUUAUGCUCAAUUAUGCCUUUUAAAUAUUAUUUGGUUUAGAGAAUUUAUCCAAUUAUUUUAAAUUUGGAUGAAUGAAGAAAGCAAUAAAAGUGACGGUAAAUUUAUUUGAUUUUUUCUUUAGAGUUUCAAUUUUUGUUGUGUUAUGGAUUCUCUUAAUUGGUCAUUUUUGUUAUGGGUAAGUGUUCUUAUACUUGAUAAUUGAUGAGAAUAACAUUUGAUAUAAUCAAUAACAAUUGAUUAAAAUUGCAUCUUAGGGGUUCUACCAGAGCUGUUAACUAAAAGUUAACCCCUAAAAGCUGUGAAGUACAAUUGCAUAAAGCAGUUUAGCUACAAAUGAUCUUAAUUAGUUUAUUGUUUGCUCUUGUUAGUUGUCUAUCACUAUGUUAUCAUGCUAUAACUUUAUUGCAAUUUACUUCUUCUGUUUUAAGAUUAUGAAUUACAGAGUGUUGAUUGGACAAAAGUGAAAUUUGAGGAUAAUCAAGUUUGUUUGGAUUUCUUUGAGAUGAUCUUUUCUACUUAUACAUUUAACCUAUUUAAUAUUUUUUAGUUUCUCCUCUGGAAAAAUGGGACAUUGACUAUUAUAUUCUAUUCUGAACUUAUUGCUCUUAUAAAAAGUUGAGUACUUUUCUUUCUUUUUCCUUUUUUAUUAAAAAAUGUGUUUAGAUCCUAAUAUCAGGCGUUCUUCAGAAUAAUACAAUUAUAUGAGUAGUGAUGCUAAAUUAAAAUACUUAAAAUAAUGAGACUUUUUGAAUAAAAAAUUUUCUUUUUGUGUUUGGGAUCUUCUAAUGAGUUAAAAUCAUGACAAGCUUUGAAUAUUAGGAAAAAAAAUAAUUGAAUACGAUUUUUGUUUAGAGACAUAUAAUUUAUGAAUUUGGUAGAGAUAUAUAAAUCAUUACUUUUAUUUCAUCUUUUUGUACAAGUAGUACUUGAUAUAGAUCUUUUUUCCCUUCAGUCCUUCACAAAAUUGAGAAAGUAUAAAUAAGCUUUAGUAAAAGAGCGUAGGUCAGUUAAGGAGAGUAGGUGAAUCAAUGGGAGUAGGUAAUAUACAUUUCUAAAAUAAUCAUAUCUAUUGAUUAUAUUGUUGAAUAUUAAUAUUCAAGCAAAUAACUACUCUAUUUUAUACCAAAUAUAGUCAUCAAUAGUUACUAAAUUGCUAUAUAAAAAUUGAUUUCAUUUUUUGUUAUUUUCAAACUUUAUUUUUUGCUGUAGUAGAGUAUUAGACUUCACUUUUUUUGUUUAGUUGUUGAUUUUCUACUUUGAAUCUAUUUGCAGCCUUUUUUCUUAAAAUAAUUCAAUACAUUGUUAAGUUAGAACUGGAUCUCUUACUUAUUCAGUGAAAUAACUUCUUUUGAGCCAAAAGUUUGUUCUUAUUUCUCCUUAUUUUUGAGAAUUCUUUGAUAGAUUUGCACUUUGAUUUCGUUGCAUGUUUAAUGAGGUUCAAUAACCAAUAUAUUUAUGUGUUUGCCACAAAACACUCAAUUUUAUUUUGUAAUGUCAUAGAUUCUAAUAACCUUUUUGAUUUCGAAGUAUUUCUUUGUUCAUUCA